GCGAACGGGUGAGUAACACGUGGGCAAUCUGCCCUUCACUCUGGGACAAGCCCUGGAAACGGGGUCUAAUACCGGAUACCACUCCUGCCUGCAUGGGCGGGGGUUGAAAGCUCCGGCGGUGAAGGAUGAGCCCGCGGCCUAUCAGCUUGUUGGUGGGGUAAUGGCCUACCAAGGCGACGACGGGUAGCCGGCCUGAGAGGGCGACCGGCCACACUGGGACUGAGACACGGCCCAGACUCCUACGGGAGGCAGCAGUGGGGAAUAUUGCACAAUGGGCGAAAGCCUGAUGCAGCGACGCCGCGUGAGGGAUGACGGCCUUCGGGUUGUAAACCUCUUUCAGCAGGGAAGAAGCGAAAGUGACGGUACCUGCAGAAGAAGCGCCGGCUAACUACGUGCCAGCAGCCGCGGUAAUACGUAGGGCGCAAGCGUUGUCCGGAAUUAUUGGGCGUAAAGAGCUCGUAGGCGGCUUGUCACGUCGGAUGUGAAAGCCCGAGGCUUAACCUCGGGUCUGCAUUCGAUACGGGCUAGCUAGAGUGUGGUAGGGGAGAUCGGAAUUCCUGGUGUAGCGGUGAAAUGCGCAGAUAUCAGGAGGAACACCGGUGGCGAAGGCGGAUCUCUGGGCCAUUACUGACGCUGAGGAGCGAAAGCGUGGGGAGCGAACAGGAUUAGAUACCCUGGUAGUCCA
rnacentral:rRNA from 1 species